UUAUGAUGAUACUAAAGGAUAAAAAGAGCGAGGGCGGGAUAGGAAGAUGAAAGGCAGUUAAGAUGAUAGCAAAGAGCAAUUGAACAAUUGAAGUCGUCUGGAAGAUAGAAGAUGUCGGUCAGCAAAAUAAAUGGAUAUAAAGAUGGAUAUAUAGAUAAAGUUCAGAAAGUAAUGCAAAAUGAAGAAAAAUCCCACGAGCAAAAUGUAAGAAUUCGUUAUGUAAUGGAUUAAUAAAUCAAUUCAGAACAUGAAUAUAUAAAGCUUCACUAUGAAAGCAGGUUUUAAAAAGAAAUUUCAAAUUAUUCUCCUUCGAGAAGAUUCGAUGUCAAUAUUGCAACCGCUAAACUAAACCUCAAUGUUCAUCUCCGUACAUUGAUGAAAAGGAGAGAAACUUUUCCUUCUUGAAGUACAGAACAUCAAUAAAAGACUACGAGUUGCUAGAAGUGGUAAGAAGUCAGUUCUAUUCAGAUGGAUAAUAUGAUCAACAUCUUAUCCAUUUGAUCACAAUUAUUCAUCUUUUCAGUGAGUCCUGUAACAGUGUUGAUUUGGUGCUCACUUCUGAAGAAAUGGUGCUUAUGUUGAAAUUCUAGGGAAAAUUACACGGAAGUGGCUCCCUGCAGUUUGUUAGCUUGAUAACUACUUGGUCCUUAAACACGAAGUUUGUGCUAUGGUUUAUAUAUAAAUACUUAGUCUAAGACAUGGCAA